rnacentral:rRNA from 1 species
UAGAGUUUGAUCAUGGCUCAGAUUGAACGCUGGCGGCAGGCCUAACACAUGCAAGUCGAACGGUAACAGGAAUCAGCUUGCUGAUUCGCUGACGAGUGGCGGACGGGUGAGUAAUGUCUGGGAAACUGCCUGAUGGAGGGGGAUAACUACUGGAAACGGUAGCUAAUACCGCAUAAUGUCGCAAGACCAAAGAGGGGGACCUUCGGGCCUCUUGCCAUCGGAUGUGCCCAGAUGGGAUUAGCUUGUUGGUGGGGUAACGGCUCACCAAGGCGACGAUCCCUAGCUGGUCUGAGAGGAUGACCAGCCACACUGGAACUGAGACACGGUCCAGACUCCUACGGGAGGCAGCAGUGGGGAAUAUUGCACAAUGGGCGCAAGCCUGAUGCAGCCAUGCCGCGUGUAUGAAGAAGGCCUUCGGGUUGUAAAGUACUUUCAGCGGGGAGGAAGGGAGUAAAGUUAAUACCUUUGCUCAUUGACGUUAUCCGCAGAAGAAGCACCGGCUAACUCCGUGCCAGCAGCCGCGGUAAUACGGAGGGUGCAAGCGUUAAUCGGAAUUACUGGGCGUAAAGCGCACGCAGGCGGUUUGUUAAGUCAGAUGUGAAAUCCCCGGGCUCAACCUGGGAACUGCAUCUGAUACUGGCAAGCUUGAGUCUCGUAGAGGGGGGUAGAAUUCCAGGUGUAGCGGUGAAAUGCGUAGAGAUCUGGAGGAAUACCGGUGGCGAAGGCGGCCCCCUGGACGAAGACUGACGCUCAGGUGCGAAAGCGUGGGGAGCAAACAGGAUUAGAUACCCUGGUAGUCCACGCCGUAAACGAUGUCGACUUGGAGGUUGUGCCCUUGAGGCGUGGCUUCCGGAGCUAACGCGUUAAGUCGACCGCCUGGGGAGUACGGCCGCAAGGUUAAAACUCAAAUGAAUUGACGGGGGCCCGCACAAGCGGUGGAGCAUGUGGUUUAAUUCGAUGCAACGCGAAGAACCUUACCUGGUCUUGACAUCCACGGAAGUUUUCAGAGAUGAGAAUGUGCCUUCGGGAACCGUGAGACAGGUGCUGCAUGGCUGUCGUCAGCUCGUGUUGUGAAAUGUUGGGUUAAGUCCCGCAACGAGCGCAACCCUUAUCCUUUGUUGCCAGCGGUCCGGCCGGGAACUCAAAGGAGACUGCCAGUGAUAAACUGGAGGAAGGUGGGGACGACGUCAAGUCAUCAUGGCCCUUACGACCAGGGCUACACACGUGCUACAAUGGCGCAUACAAAGAGAAGCGACCUCGCGAGAGCAAGCGGACCUCAUAAAGUGCGUCGUAGUCCGGAUUGGAGUCUGCAACUCGACUCCAUGAAGUCGGAAUCGCUAGUAAUCGUGGAUCAGAAUGCCACGGUGAAUACGUUCCCGGGCCUUGUACACACCGCCCGUCACACCAUGGGAGUGGGUUGCAAAAGAAGUAGGUAGCUUAACCUUCGGGAGGGCGCUUACCACUUUGUGAUUCAUGACUGGGGUGAAGU